rnacentral:misc_RNA from 1 species
UUUCCGUAGGUGAACCUGCGGAAGGAUCAUUAGUGAAUCUAUCAUUAAUAUCUACACACACCUGUGAACUUGUACGGUUGGCUGAAUAGCGAAAGCUGUUGAUGCCGACUGUUUAUUUUACAAACAUCAGUGUAAUGAACGUCAUUUUAUCAUAACAUAAUAAAACUUUCAACAACGGAUCUCUUGGCUCUCGCAUCGAUGAAGAACGCAGC